UUCAAGCUAUUAUUUCUUCUCUAAAGUGUCCUUAGAGAGGACCAAAAGUUUCCAUUUGUUUGAGAACUUCAUAUAUGCAGUUUCAUGUGCUGAGCACUCUCCCUUCCCUUGAACAGUUUCCUGGGAAUCUGAGCUCUUACGGUGAGGACAUGAGGAGAAGUAACUUGGCUUACUUGUUUGUCCCUCUUCCUGGAAGUUAAAAAAAAAAUAAGAAUGGAUGAAUGGAACAUUACACUGAAAAUACUUCGGCACAGCAAAAGUAAUAAUAGUGUGAAAAGAUGACAUGGAACUUAGGCCAAAAGAUUUCCAGCAUUAUGAAAAACAUCUUUCAUUAAAAUGAUGUUUCCAGUCUUAGAAGACAGGUCUCCAAUAAGUGUCUGAGCCUGCGGACUGGUCAACGAGGUUCUGGAGGGGAGAGCAGCGACCUGAAGAACAGGGGUACACCGG